rnacentral:rRNA from 1 species
GACGAACCGUGCGAACGUUGUUCGGAAUCACUGGGCUUAAAGGGCGCGUAGGCGGUCUACCAAGUCGGGGUUGAAAUCUUUCGGCUUAACCGGAAGAGUGGCUUCGAUACUGGUAGACUGGAGGGAGGCAGGGGCGGAUGGAACUUCCGGUGGAGCGGUGAAAUGUGUUGAUAUCGGAAGGAACGCCAGUGGCGAAAGCGAUCCGCUGGACCUCUACUGACGCUGAGGCGCGAAAGCCAGGGGAGCAAACGGG